CCUGCUUCCAGGAAAAGCCUCUAAGCAUCAGGUAACAUCAAAUCGUACCCCAAACCGACACAGGUGGUCAGGUAGAGAAUACCAAGGCGCUUGAGAGAACUCGGGUGAAGGAACUAGGCAAAAUGGUGCCGUAACUUCGGGAGAAGGCACGCUGACACGUAGGUGAAGUGAUUUACUCAUGGAGCUGAAGUCAGUCGAAGAUACCAGCUGGCUGCAACUGUUUAUUAAAAACACAGCACUGUGCAAACACGAAAGUGGACGUAUACGGUGUGACGCCUGCCCGGUGCCGGAAGGUUAAUUGAUGGGGUCAGCGCAAGCGAAGCUCCUGAUCGAAGCCCCGGUAAACGGCGGCCGUAACUAUAACGGUCCUAAGGUAGCGAAAUUCCUUGUCGGGUAAGUUCCGACCUGCACGAAUGGCGUAAUGAUGGCCAGGCUGUCUCCACCCGAGACUCAGUGAAAUUGAACUCGCUGUGAAGAUGCAGUGUACCCGCGGCAAGACGGAAAGACCCCGUGAACCUUUACUAUAGCUUGACACUGAACAUUGAGCCUUGAUGUGUAGGAUAGGUGGGAGGCUUUGAAGUGUGGACGCCAGUCUGCAUGGAGCCGGCCUUGAAAUACCACCCUUUAAUGUUUGAUGUUCUAACGUGGACCCGUGAUCCGGGUUGCGGACAGUGUCUGGUGGGUAGUUUGACUGGGGCGGUCUCCUCCUAAAGAGUAACGGAGGAGCACGAAGGUUGGCUAAUCCUGGUCGGACAUCAGGAGGUUAGUGCAAUGGCAUAAGCCAGCUUGACUGCGAGCGUGACGGCGCGAGCAGGUGCGAAAGCAGGUCAUAGUGAUCCGGUGGUUCUGAAUGGAAGGGCCAUCGCUCAACGGAUAAAAGGUACUCCGGGGAUAACAGGCUGAUACCGCCCAAGAGUUCAUAUCGACGGCGGUGUUUGGCACCUCGAUGUCGGCUCAUCACAUCCUGGGGCUGAAGUAGGUCCCAAGGGUAUGGCUGUUCGCCAUUUAAAGUGGUACGCGAGCUGGGUUUAGAACGUCGUGAGACAGUUCGGUCCCUAUCUGCCGUGGGCGCUGGAGAACUGAGGGGGGCUGCUCCUAGUACGAGAGGACCGGAGUGGACGCAUCACUGGUGUUCGGGUUGUCAUGCCAAUGGCACUGCCCGGUAGCUAAAUGCGGAAGAGAUAAGUGCUGAAAGCAUCUAAGCACGAAACUUGCCCCGAGAUGAGUUCUCCCUGAGACUUAGAGUCUCCUGAAGGAACGUUGAAGACGACGACGUUGAUAGGCCGGGUGUGUAAGCGCAGCGAUGCGUUGAGCUAACCGGUACUAAUGAACCGUGAGGCUUAACCUUACA
rnacentral:rRNA from 1 species